AUGUAAUUGUUAUGUUACCUAGAUCAUAGAGAUGAACUAAAGUUCUGCCAUGCACCCUGCUAGGUCCGUCCUUCCUACCACACUGGAAGGAACACCAGAGCCUUUCAGCGAGAAACACUAGACAGUCCACAGAGAAAUGGUGCAGAAUCAUAAUCAGGUGCCUGUUUUCAAGCACUUCAAAGCCUUUUCCAAAAUCAGUGAAAAUAUUCCGGCUCAUUGGAAGAGAAUUGCAACAAAGCCCUACAAUGGAAAGAAACAGAGGAAUUCAAGGUAAGCUCUCAUGGCAGAGGUUCAAAUUAGAUUCUGGACAUGAAACAUCGAAACAUCGUGUCUGGAAGCAUUCCUAGUAUGCUGAAACACCUGGUGUUUUAUGCCCAGAUAUAUUAACUAUAUUGCAAAAAAAUUCAAGGCCAUGUUGUCAGGGUGUUGAAAGUCUUUGGAUAGAGAAAAGGAACUCCAU
rnacentral:lncRNA from 1 species